CGGCCAUUCCCCCGCGCCUUGAGUUCAGCCGGCGGAACGCCUGACACUGGGAAGGUUUUUUUGGGGGGGUUAUCGGGGGGAGACUAACCUUCGGGGACAACACAAUUCCGGUGCCCCGGAUCCUCGGCAGGGAACCAGGGCGGGGGGUGUGUGGGGAGAUGAGCAAAGAGAGCAGAGAAAGAGGAAGAGAGACCCCCCCCCAGCCCUCCCGGUCCACCCUUCUGCAGUCCCCACCAAGGUGGCCUGGGAGCUCGCAGCUCGCUGGGCUGCGGGGAGUACGCACAACACCCCCCUCCUCUAGAAGUCCCCCCAGCCCCCUCCGCAGUACCCCCCAGUCCAGCGCGGACGGUCGAGGGGGAGGCCAGGCCGGGAGCGCGGGCCCGGAGCGCCGGGGGCGGAAGCGCGAAACGGUAGAGACCUACUUUUGGCUAGCUUUCUGGCCCUCGCCUUGGAUCUCAUGUUGUCGGCUGGCUGAAUCCCUCUCCUCCUCCUUGACUCCCGAAGCUGCUACACGCUAUCUUCAUCUCCCCAGCAUUGUCAAUUCCGGACACCUUCGCACAUGCGCACAGAGCCUUCAAUCUGACACCCCUCGCCGGGGCCAAAAAAACUUUCCAAUGUAUUCACCAUCAUCACCAUCACCAUCAUCACCAUCAUCAUCAUUGGCGGCGGAGGCGCUGAGUACGGGCUGGAGCCCGGACGCGCUUUCACCGGAUCAAGCGGCUUUCGCCACCUUUCUUCUCUUAGGGCUCGGGUUCUUGGAGGACGCCCCACCCCCCGGCGAGUGUCUAAGAAUCUGUACUCCCACCCACUCCCAAACUAGAGGGGCGUCCUGUUGUGUCCUCUCCUGCCCCGUCUUACCCCGUCCCCUUCACAACCCGGGUAGUUCGAACCCCGCUUCUCUGCCUGCCCGCUCUGGUUUGCUCCCUGCCCGCAUCAGCUCCUUCCAACAUCGGUUGGCUCCGCAAGCCUUGCCGGGUCCCCCCGUUUCCUCACCAACCCCAGUGGCCCCUAGUCGGGACUGGCCCAUCCCUCCCUCAGCGUUAUAAACAUAAAUAGAGCAACUAUGUUUUGCUAGUCUCCGGGCUGCUGAGCUUGCUAUCCCCAGGCCCGAGUGGAGGUCUUUUGGGGAGAGGGGAGACGGGAACGGGAAAUUGGCGAGAGUCGCUGGAGAACCUCUGGUGCGCCGAGGACCUGGUGGGGUCACCAAAGGGACUGAACCGAUGCAGGAAUCGGCAGAGCUCAGAGAAGUCUAGGGUGGAGUAGAGUGGGAAAGGGUUGUAGUUGAAAGCUCUUGGUUGCCCCCCCCGGCACACUGGAACCUUUCUACACCGCCCAGCCCUGAUUCCAGGUGCCCCGAAGCCAGCUCUCCCUAGCACCUAUGCCUCUUGGCCGGGCCUGGGACCAAGGCGGGAGGGACUGACUUGCCUGUCCCCAGUCCCCCUCAUUCUUUUUCCUACAACUAUUCGCAGACCUUGCGGCUUUCUCUGCUGGGGCAAUCCAGCGGAGGUGAGCACCAGGCUGGGGAGUGGGAGUAAGGGACGGCUGCAGUGUUUAGGAGAGGACAGAUCUGUGGAGGAGCUCUGGGCAAGGGUUAGUCUGGGAAGUGUGUAUGUGGGGGGAGCACUGUACCCCCCCACCUGCUCAAGGGAAGCUCGGAGCUGGAACCUUUGGGGCAGGGAACCGGUAAGGCUAGCAAGGGUCGAGUUGAGGAAACCAAGGAGAGGGGUCCCUCCACCAGGCCAGCAGGUGGAGGGCUCCCACAGGAAGGUGGGUGGAUUUGUCUUAAUUGUGUUUCUUCCUCUUCUGUCGGUCACUAGUUCUUGUAGGCGCCGAGAGUCCAGCUGGGCUCGAGGCGGGCGGCCUGAGAGAGGAGGUGGUGGGCGGUGGGAGGGCCUGGCUCGGUCCCGCCUGCCUCAGAUGGGCUUCGGUGGCUUCGGUAGUCAGUUUAGGGGAGCUGAGCUUGGGGCUCGGCCUGAGUGGGGGGGGCAGAACCUCCAGGGGAGAAGGAUGUCCUGGCCCGGUAUUCCCUUAUUGGAAAUGAUCCUACAGGAAAGAGCUGGGAAUAAAAAGGAGUGGGUCUGGAACA
rnacentral:lncRNA from 1 species